rnacentral:rRNA from 1 species
ACUCCUACGGGAGGCAGCAGUGGGGAAUAUUGCACAAUGGGCGCAAGCCUGAUGCAGCCAUGCCGCGUGUAUGAAGAAGGCCUUCGGGUUGUAAAGUACUUUCAGCAGUGAGGAAGGCGGGUACGUUAAUAGCGUACUUGUUUGUACGUUAGCUGCAGAAGAAGCACCGGCUAACUCCGUGCCAGCAGCCGCGGUAAUACGGAGGGUGCGAGCGUUAAUCGGAAUUACUGGGCGUAAAGCGCAUGCAGGUGGUUUGUUAAGUCAGAUGUGAAAGCCCGGGGCUCAACCUCGGAAUUGCAUUUGAAACUGGCAGACUAGAGUACUGUAGAGGGGGGUAGAAUUUCAGGUGUAGCGGUGAAAUGCGUAGAGAUCUGAAGGAUACCGGUGGCGAAGGCGGCCCCCUGGACAGAUACUGACACUCAGAUGCGAAAGCGU